UUGCGCAGGUUUCGUGAAGGGACAGUCUCCUACGAGGAUAUUAGUAGCAGUGUUUUUUAAACUGGAAGAAAGCCAAGAAGAGGUAGGAGAUAAAUGCAGUAAGGAUGCUGUUACUCUUAAUGGAAUUGAAAUCUAACAAGUGUUCUCAGGCAACCUCUGGAGGAAUCCAGCACACACGGAAUAUCUCCAGCCACCCCACAGCACAUCCCCAGAGCUUCAGCUCAAGAGGUAAGCCGCAGCCCACUCUGCAUGCCACUGCAGACGGCUACUUACAAAAGGGACUGUUUCAGAGUUAACUUCAUUUCAUUGAUGAGUUUCAUUUCAUUGUCCAACAGACUUGCCUAGGUUGUCCACGAACACUCCUUCAUUUAGGAGCCAAGUUGUGGGGUAAUUUAUAGGGAUGUUGUUACUUCACAUUAUUGCUAUUCUUACAGUGAUGAAAGAAACCACCACUUCUUAAACAUUUGCUGGCUGUGGACCAGCAUUUCACAUAUAUCCUCUCUUUUAAUUCUGACAACUCAAUGAAGUAAAUAUUAUCAUUCUCAUUUUACAGACAAAAAAAUUCAA
rnacentral:lncRNA from 1 species